GACGAACCGUGCGAACGUUGUUCGGAAUCACUGGGCUUAAAGGGCGCGUAGGCGGGUCAGCAAGUCCGGGGUGAAAUCUUUCGGCUCAACCGGAAAAGUGCCUCGGAUACUGCUGGUCUUGAGGGAGGUAGGGGUUUGUGGAACUUCUGGUGGAGCGGUGAAAUGCGUUGAUAUCAGAAGGAACGCCGGUGGCGAAAGCGACGAACUGGACCUCUUCUGACGCUGAGGCGGCGAAAAGCUAGGGGAGCAAACGGGG
rnacentral:rRNA from 1 species